ACAGUGGCAUUCACCUGGAAUUCUGCCACUUAGCAUCCUUUUCAUUGUCAUCCAGAAGUGAACACAACCAAUGCUAAUGUGAUCUGUGUAUGAGAAUGCUAAGCUCAACUUUUCUCUUCUCUUCUUGUCAACUAAAGGCAGUGAUGUAGUCCAGUCAGAACAAGGCAAGUCAUCCAGUUAAUUUAAGGCUGUACAAACAGAAGCAACUUCUUUAAAGAUGGACUAUACAGAAAUCAUUCCUCCAUUUCCUGGGUGAUAUAAUUAUAAAAGUGUACAUAAUUACACAUUGUGACAAAAUAAGCAGUCAUUGUGUAAAAUAUAUUUUGAAUAACCAAACAUAUUGUUUAUUCAGCUGUUUGAAGAUGGUGUACAAAACCCGAAACGGGAAGCAUAGAAAUAGCACACAUAGAAUGCUUCUGAUACUUGCUUUCAACGGGAAUGAAGGGGAAGAGGACGCAGACCAAGCUGGGCAGGGGAAGGAAGAUGCCACUCCAUUGAAGUAGAAAGACCACCAGUAAAGAAUCCAGUAUUUUAGGAUGCUGGUGGUCUUCCUGGUGGGGUACCUGAGGACCAGAAACAUGAGGUUUGAAGGCUCUCAGUACAUGACUCCAUAUCUGUUACAUUGAGACAAACGACCAAGAAGAGAGAAACAUGUUUGAACUGUUGGAGAUGUUUUUAAUGAAAUGUCAAAUGAAGGAAAACAACAGGCGAACGUUGCACAAAGUAACAUGCAUUCAAUCAGAUGAUGUACAGUGAGCUACAAAGUAUUGGCACAGACAUCUUUUGUUGUUUUGGCUCUGUACUCCAGCACUUUGGGUUUGAAAUUAUACAAUGACUAUAAAGUUAAAGUGC